rnacentral:tRNA from 1 species
UGGGAUGUGGCUCAGUGGCAGAGUUCGUGCCUAGCAUGCAUGAGGUUUUGGGCUCAAUUCCCAGUACUGCAA